AGUGAACGCUGGCGGUAGGCCUAACACAUGCAAGUCGAACGGCAGCACAGUAAGAGCUUGCUCUUACGGGUGGCGAGUGGCGGACGGGUGAGGAAUACAUCGGAAUCUACUUUUUCGUGGGGGAUAACGUAGGGAAACUUACGCUAAUACCGCAUACGACCUACGGGUGAAAGCAGGGGAUCUUCGGACCUUGCGCGAUUGAAUGAGCCGAUGUCGGAUUAGCUAGUUGGCGGGGUAAAGGCCCACCAAGGCGACGAUCCGUAGCUGGUCUGAGAGGAUGAUCAGCCACACUGGAACUGAGACACGGUCCAGACGCCUACGGGAGGCAGCAGUGGGGAAUAUUGGACAAUGGGGGCAAGCCUGAUCCAGCCAUACCGCGUGGGUGAAGAAGGCCUUCGGGUUGUAAAGCCCUUUUGUUGGGAAAGAAAAGCAGCAGGUUAAUACCCCGCUGUUCUGACGGUACCCAAAGAAUAAGCACCGGCUAACUUCGUG
rnacentral:rRNA from 1 species